ACGCGGUACCGAACACAGUUUUUUUGCCAUUUCUUUUCCAACUAUGGACCAAGAUUGUUUACCAAGUAAACUAUGGACCAGAUUCAGGGGCUUCAGCACUCCUGUUUUCCUCAUCCAAGUACAAGUACAAGUGUUAAUAUGACCUUCAUGGACCUAGAAUAAGUUUCAAACAAAGGGUGUGACAUAUUAUUUGUUUUUCUACUCCUCAAAUUUGGUUUUUCAGCCAAUCAUUGGGAGAGAACCCUCAACGACGGUAAUGGCGAACGGUAACUGCAACAAUAUGGAUAUGGUUUCGUUCAUCCUUUGAUCCUUCUCAUUGUAUAUCAUCUAUCUUCUUUGAAAGUAAAACAAUGACUUUCAUCAAUCCAUAAAAAUAAUUAUAAUAAUAACAACAAUAUGACAUUUGUUUUUAGGGUUUUUAACUUCCAAGAAUUGGGCUUCUGCCAAAAAAAAAAAGCUUCCAAGGAUUGGGUUUAGAUUGAUAAUCUUUUGAAAUGAUGAGGCUUUGAAACUUCUCCAUUUAUGGGUUGAAGUUUUGCCUUUUGGUAUUUGACUAUAAGCAUGUCAUCUUUGUGCUUGCUUCCAUGUCGUGGCUUUGCAAAUAAAGAUCAUAAAGUUGAAACUUGGGAUGUUAUUUGUUUGACAGGUUCACCUUUGCUUUUCUCCAUUUUUGUUUUGUUUCUGUAAUGCUAGAUAUCUUUUAUUUUUUGUUAUUAACUUUGCUAUUUUAUUGUUUUUAUAGUUCUACCCUUUCAACUAUCUAUUUGCCACUACCCUAUUUGCACGAGAAGGAAGGAAAGUUUGCCGGCCAUGGCGAUCAGUUUCAGUCGAGAAGUGGCAUUUUUAUAUUGCAUAUCCUUGGCUGAUGCUUGCGGAGAAGGAAGACAGUGACAAGCGUGGCUUCUACAGUCUCUCCACCCAAAAGGUUUACCACUUGAACUUGCUAGAGGCCCGUGGCAGGCGGUGUUGGUCCUAUUGUGAUUGGUUGAUAACUUUUGGGCUUGAUUGGUAGAUUCACUUAUUAAACCCCUUUUCUGGGAUUAAAAUUCGGCUUGCACCUCAGCCAAAAGUCCCCAAGGAAUACUCUCCAGAAAAAUGUAGUCCAAAAUAUCUCUGUCGGCAUUUUCUAUGGAAAGUGAUAUUGUCAUCAAGACCUUCUCUUUCAUCUAAAACAACACCCAGUUAAGACAAAUGUGUGGUUAUGGCGAUAAGAACUGUAUAUAAGAGAUUAAACUUCUUGAGAUUAGGCGAUGAAGUUUGGACUCCUGUAGACAGUCAUAUUGGUAUCACUGACGUCAUCUACUUCAAUGGUCAAUUCUAUGCUUUCUCUAAUAAAGGGAAAUUGUUGAUUGUUGAUAUUUCUAGUCCUCAACCAAAGACGGUUGAGUUUCCGAACCAGCAGAGGGUUUAAACAUUUAUGCCUAUUAUUAUCUUGUGGAGUCAGCAGGAGAGCUCUUUAUGCUUGCACGGGAUAUUUAUGAGGACUAUGAUGAUUCGAAAUGCUACCUACAUGACACGGGUAGUAUUGAUGUUUACAAGUUCAAUCCUAAUAACAGGAAGUGGACGGAAGUGAAGAGCCUGGAUAAUUGAGCACUGUUUAUUGGUGCUAAUACGUCCUUCGCCAUCAUCCCCUCUAAACAUUUGGGAUGCGAACCUAACUGUAUCUACUUCACUGAUGAUGCCUAUGAAGCUCUUAAGAAAGGAGGUGGUGAAGACAUGGGAGUUUAGAGGAUGGAGAUUGAGGAAUUUGAUGAUCAUUAUGUUGGGCCCGACAUCGUUUCUCAUGUUUCGGCACCUCUUUGGAUUUGUCCUUCUCCAUGGGGAAUUUGAUAAUCACUAUGUUGGCUCCUGACAUCGUUUCUCGUGUUAUUGCACUUUUUUUUUUCCCUCAUGUUUUGGACUGAGAUUGUGGGUCGAUUCUGACCACUUAAUUUGUGUUAAGUAACUUAUUUUUAUUUUA